rnacentral:rRNA from 1 species
UCAGACGAUGCGUCAUGCAUAUCAAUAAGCGGAGGAAAAGAAACUAACAAGGAUUCCCUUAGUAACGGCGAGUGAAGCGGGAAGAGCUCAAAUUUGAAAUCUUCAAGGUUUUACCUUGACGAAUUGUAGUUUAAAGAAGUGUUUUCUGUUGAAGUUUUGGUAAAAGUUCUUUGGAAUAGGACAUCAUAGAGGGUGAGAAUCCCGUAUUUGACCAUUAUUUUCAGCUGUGUGAUACACUUUCAAAGAGUCGGAUUGUUUGGGAAUGUAGUCCAAAAUGGGUGGUAAAUUUCAUCUAAAGCUAAAUAUUGGCGAGAGACCGAUAGCGAACAAGUACCGUGAGGGAAAGAUGAAAAGAACUUUGAAAAGAGAGUUAAACAGUACGUGAAAUUGUCAAAAGGGAAGCGUUUGACACCAGUGUUGUUUUCUCGAAAAUCAAUUAAAAAGAGUUGGAUUUUGUGUUGUAUUGACCUUAACAGCUUGCUUCACUCUUUUCCUGCUUUUUUUAAUGCACUUUUCGUUUAACAAGUCAACAUCAGUUUCUUUUGUUGUAAAAGGGUCAUUGGAAGGUGGCUUUCUCUUCGGAGAGAGUGUUUAUAGCCUUUGAUCUCUGCAAUCGGAGAGACUGAGGUCUGCAGCGUAGAUCCUUCGGGGUUAGAUACAUUUGUGCUAAGCUACAGCUUUUCAUAGACAACUUGUUGACUAUGUUUAGUCUUGUAACUUACCUGCUUAUGCUAUUUUACCUACGCUUAGGAUGUUGAUAUGCAUGACUGAUAU